rnacentral:rRNA from 1 species
CCUACGGGUGGCAGCAGUGAGGAAUAUUGGUCAAUGGGAGAGCUCCUGAACCAGCCAAGCCGCGUGAGGGAAGACGGCCCUAUGGGGUGUAAACCUCUUUUGCCGGAGAACAAAACCCGGGACUUGCCCCGGACUGCGUGUAUCCGAAGAAAAAGCAUCGGCCAACACUGUGCCAGCAGCCGCGGUAAUACGGAGGAUGCGAGCGUUAUCCGGAUUUAUUGGGUUUAACGGGUGCGUAGGCGGUCCGUUAAGUCAGCGGCAAAAUUGCGGGGCUCAACCCUGUCGAGCCGUUGAAACUGGCUGACUUGAGUUGGCGAGAAGUACGCGGAAUGCGCGGUGUAGCGGUGAAAUGCAUAGAUAGCGCGCAGAACUCCGAUUGCGAAGGCAGCGUACCGGCGCCAGACUGACGCUGAGGCACGAAAGCGUGGGGAUCGAACAGGAUUAGAUACCCGAGUAGUC